rnacentral:rRNA from 1 species
AUUGAACGCUGGCGGCAGGACUAACACAUGCAAGUCGAGCGAGCGGCGGACGGGUGAGUAAUGUAUGGGGACUGCCCGAUAGAGGGGGAUCACUACUGGAAACGGUGGCUAAUACCGCAUACUAUCGGAUAACCCAUAUGGGAUUAGCUAGUAGGUGGGGUAACGGCUCACCUAGGCGACGAUCUCUAGCUGUGCUGAGAGGAUGAUCAGCCACACUGGGACUGAGACACGGCCCAUACGCCUACGGAGGCAGCAGUGGGGAAUAUUGCACAAUGGGCGCAAGCCUUAUGCAGCCAUGCCGCGUGUAUGAAGAUGGCCUUAGGGUUGUCAAGUACUGUCAGCUGUGAGGCGUUACCCGCCGAAGAAGCACCGGCUAACCCCGUGCCAGCCGCCGCGGUAAUUC